rnacentral:rRNA from 1 species
AUUGAACGCUGGCGGCAGGCUUAACACAUGCAAGUCGAGCGGAGAUGAGGUGAUUGCACCUUAUCUUAGCGGCGGACGGGUGAGUAAUGCUUAGGAAUCUGCCUAUUAGUGGGGGACAACAUUCCGAAAGGAAUGCUAAUACCGCAUACGUCCUACGGGAGAAAGCAGGGGAUCUUCGGACCUUGCGCUAAUAGAUGAGCCUAAGUCGGAUUAGCUAGUUGGUGGGGUAAAGGCCUACCAAGGCGACGAUCUGUAGCGGGUCUGAGAGGAUGGUCCGCCACACUGGGACUGAGACACGGCCCAGACUCCGACGGGAGGCAGCAGUGGGGAAUAUUGGACAAUGGGGCGAACCCUGAUCCAGCCAUGCCGCGUGUGUGAAGAAGGCCUUAUGGUUGUAAAGCACUUUAAGCGAGGAGGAGGCUACUGAGACUAAUACUCUUGGAUAGUGGACGUUACUCGCAGAAUAAGCACCGGCUAACUCUGUGCCAGCAGCCGCCGUAAGAC